rnacentral:rRNA from 1 species
UACAGAGGUCCCGAGCGUUGUUCGGAUUCACUGGGCGUAAAGGGUGCGUAGGUGGCGAGGUAAGUCGGAUGUGAAAGCUCGGAGCUCAACUCCGAAAUGGCAUUGGAAACUACCUUGCUCGAGGGUUGGAGGGGGGACUGGAAUACUUGGUGUAGCAGUGAAAUGCGUAGAUAUCAAGUGGAACACCAGUGGCGAAGGCGGAUCUCUGGGCCAUUACUGACGCUGAGGAGCGAAAGCGUGGGGAGCGAACAGG